rnacentral:tRNA from 1 species
ACCUGGCUAGUUCAUUUGGUAGAACAUGUGACUCUUGAUCUCAGGGUCAUGAGUUCAAGCCCCAUGUUGGAUG